CCCAUUUGGACAGCAUAAGAUGAAGGCAGAACCAAAUAUACCUACUGAAGAAGAGCUCCAAGUUUAUACUGUCAAUACAAGAUCAUGUAGGCUCGAUGUAUGAAAAGCCUGUGAAAAGACAAUUGUCUUGGUUUGGGUGCCUCCGGAAGCAGACCCUGAGGCAAGGUUUUGAAUGUAAGUAGUUUAUUUAGGGAGUGGAGCCAAGUCUGAGAAAACACCAGUGGGAGAGUAGGACACAGGCAUGGAAGAGAGAAAAAGCCAUGGGAAGCCAAUGAUCGUGGCGGACAAUUAGAGUUCAUUCCUGUUGGCAAAAUCAGAGAGACAUUAUAGAACUUAUCUCAGAGUUACCCAAGGGGAUAGAAGUUAAGGUAUUUAUCACUAAUAUCUUGUCCAUUAUUGGUCAAGGGCAGAUUUGGGGAGUAUUAAUUCUUGGGCACUUCUGGCUUGGCCUCUGUGGAAGUUGAACUUGCUCCCAUAGCCAAGAAAAAGCCAUCAGGCCAAGAGAAUCAUGGUAUUCACGGUUAGCAGCCUUUAGUAUAUAGAUGUGUAUUAAAGAAAAAAUAACGACUAGAGAAACCAAAGAUUGAACACUCAGUAAAAAAGAAAAGUUUUACUGCCAAGCAGGGAACCUAAUCUAACAUAGAGUUUAUGAAAGCUUUUGAAGAUGACGAAUGGGGUAGGAGAAGUAGAGUGGGUCUUUUAAACCCCAAAGACUCCACACUCUUUCUGUUCCAUAUGCUUUGUAUGUGAGGUCUCUGCCUGGAGAUUGUGGAACCUGGCUGACUCUGCUUUGUGUGUGAUGUGCUGAGUCAAGAUUAUAUUGCCGGUCAGAUCAGCCCCAGCGACAGCAGACUGAGUGGCCCACUCUGGGUUUAUCAGUUACUUCCAAAUAAGAAUUGAAAAAAAAGAACGAUCAUGGGUUUUGACACCUUAAAGAUACAAGGUGCAAUCCUGAGCCGUCUUAGUCCAGGAAAUGUGUUUAAAUGGAACCAGUUAAGGCAAAUAUUGAUGGAAGUUGCGUGUGUGUGGUGGUCCAUUUAGCACAGUGGUUCUCAACAGGGGUGAUUUUGCCUCCAGGGACAUAAGGUAAUGUCUGGAGACUUUUCUGGCUAUCAAAACUGCGGGGGGUGGUGACACUGGCUUCUGAUUGGUAGAAGACAGGGAUGCUGCUAAACAUCCUACAACACACAGGACAGCCCCCCACAAUGAAGAAUUGUCCCCCCUAAAAUGUCCAUAGUGCUGGAGUUGAGAAACCCUGACCUUAGUGAAGGGAAAAGACUGCCAUUAUGAAUAUUUAGGCAGAUCUGAUUUUCAAAUAGAGAUGAAAUUACUGAAUCGAAGUCAUACUUGUGCUUUGUAGACAAGUUUAACUGCAUUUCAACUGUAUAUUUUACCAUUACAACCUGUCCUGUGCAGAUAUUUACAGAAC
rnacentral:lncRNA from 1 species